rnacentral:rRNA from 1 species
GAUGAACGCUGGCGGCGUGCCUAAUACAUGCAAGUCGAGCGAACAGAUAAGGAGCUUGCUCCUUUGACGUUAGCGGCGGACGGGUGAGUAACACGUGGAUAACCUACCUAUAAGACUGGGAUAACUUCGGGAAACCGGAGCUAAUACCGGAUAACAUAUUGAACCGCAUGGUUCAAUAGUGAAAGGCGGCUUUGCUGUCACUUAUAGAUGGAUCCGCGCCGUAUUAGCUAGUUGGUAAGGUAACGGCUUACCAAGGCAACGAUACGUAGCCGACCUGUGAGGGUGAUCGGCCACACUGGAACUGAGACACGGUCCAGACUCCUACGGGAGGCAGCAGUAGGGAAUCUUCCGCAAUGGGCGAAAGCCUGACGGAGCAACGCCGCGUGAGUGAUGAAGGUCUUCGGAUCGUAAAACUCUGUUAUCAGGGAAGAACAAAUGUGUAAGUAACUGUGCACAUCUUGACGGUACCUGAUCAGAAAGCCACGGCUAACUACGUG